UACGUAGGGUGCGAGCGUUAAUCGGAAUUACUGGGCGUAAAGCGUGCGCAGGCGGCCUUGCAAGACAGAUGUGAAAUCCCCGGGCUCAACCUGGGAACUGCAUUUGUGACUGCAAGGCUAGAGUACGGCAGAGGGGGAUGGAAUUCCGCGUGUAGCAGUGAAAUGCGUAGAUAUGCGGAGGAACACCAAUGGCGAAGGCAAUCCCCUGGGCCUGUACUGACGCUCAUGCACGAAAGCGUGGGGAGCAAACAGG
rnacentral:rRNA from 1 species